UACGUAGGGUGCAAGCGUUGUCCGGAAUUAUUGGGCGUAAAGAGCUCGUAGGCGGUUUGUCACGUCGGCUGUGAAAACCCGAGGCUCAACCUCGGGCCUGCAGUCGAUACGGGCAGACUAGAGUAUGGCAGGGGAGACUGGAAUUCCUGGUGUAGCGGUGAAAUGCGUUGAUAUCAGGAGGAACACCCAUGGCGAAGGCAGCAUACUGGCCGACCACUGACGCUGAGGCGCGAAAGCGUGGGUAGCAAACAGG
rnacentral:rRNA from 1 species